rnacentral:rRNA from 1 species
AGCGAACGCUGGCGGCAGGCCUAACACAUGCAAGUCGAACGAACCUUUCGGGGUUAGUGGCGGACGGGUGAGUAACACGUGGGAACGUGCCUUUAGGUUCGGAAUAACUCAGGGAAACUUGUGCUAAUACCGAAUGUGCCCUUCGGGGGAAAGAUUAAUCGCCUUUAGAGCGGCCCGCGUCUGAUUAGCUAGUUGGUUGAGGUAAUGGCUCACCAAGGCGACGAUCAGUAGCUGGUCUGAGAGGAUGAUCAGCCACAUUGGGACUGAGACACCGCCCAAACUCCUACCGGAGGCAGCAGUGGGGGAUCUUGCGCCAUGGGCGAAAGCCUGACGCCGCCCUGCCGCGUGAAUUAUGAAGGUCUUAGGAUUGUAAAAUUCUUUCACCGGGGACGAUAAUGACGGUACCCGGAGAAGAAGCCCCGGCUAACUUCGUG